GGGCCUCGCGCUAUAGGGUUGGCCGAUGGCUGAUUAGCUAGUUGGUGGGGUAAAGGCCUACCAAGGCGACGAUCAGUAGCUGGUCUGAGAGGACGACCAGCCACACUGGGACUGAGACACGGCCCAGACUCCUACGGGAGGCAGCAGUGGGGAAUUUUGGACAAUGGGCGAAAGCCUGAUCCAGCAAUGCCGCGUGUGUGAAGAAGGCCUUCGGGUUGUAAAGCACUUUUGUCCGGAAAGAAAUCCUUGGUUCUAAUAUAGCCGGGGGAUGACGGUACCGGAAGAAUAAGCACCGGCUAACUACGUGCCAGCAGCCGCGGUAAUACGUAGGGUGCGAGCGUUAAUCGGAAUUACUGGGCGUAAAGCGUGCGCAGGCGGUUUGCUAAGACCGAUGUGAAAUCCCCGGGCUCAACCUGGGAACUGCAUUGGUGACUGGCAGGCUAGAGUAUGGCAGAGGGGGGUAGAAUUCCACGUGUAGCAGUGAAAUGCGUAGAGAUGUGGAGG
rnacentral:rRNA from 1 species